rnacentral:rRNA from 1 species
GUGCCAGCAGCCGCGGUAAUACGUAGGAUCCGAGCGUUGUCCGGAAUUACUGGGUGUAAAGGGCGUGUAGGUGGAUCUCUAAGUCGGUGGUGAAAUCCUGCAGCUUAACUGUAGAAUUGCCUUCGAUACUGGAGAUCUUGAGUGCGGCAGAGGGAGACGGAAUUCAUGGUGUAGCGGUGAAAUGUGUAGAUAUCAUGAAGAACACCGGUUGCGAAGGCGGUUUCCUGGUCCGUUACUGACACUGAGGCGCGAAAGCGUGGGGAGCAAACAGGAUUAGAAACCCCUGUAGUCC